UACGUAGGGGGCUAGCGUUGUCCGGAUUUAUUGGGCGUAAAGAGCGCGUAGGCGGCCGGGUAAGUCCUACGUGAAAUCUGGAGGCUCAACCUCCAGCGGUCGUUGGAAACUACUCGGCUAGAGUCCGGAAGAGGAGAGUGGAAUUCCUGGUGUAGCGGUGAAAUGCGCAGAUAUCAGGAAGAACACCGAUGGCGAAAGCAGCUCUCUGGGACGGUACUGACGCUGAGGCGCGAAAGCGUGGGGAGCGAACAGG
rnacentral:rRNA from 1 species